ensembl:ncRNA Y39A1B.8 ncRNA
GAAUAUAUUGCGUCAGCAGACAAAUAAGAUCUCUUGAGAACGAGAAAGAGAGUGACCCAUCAAAAGUGUCAAAAAUCGCAUUGAAGAUCCACUAGUGUUUGCUCAUUUGAUAUAAGGUGGUGAUCAUCGAAGAUAGAAUAUUGGGGA